AACGCGAAGAACCUUACCUGGCCUUGACAUAGUAGAGACUUUCCAGAGAUGGAUUGGUGCCUUCGGGAAUCUACAUACAGGUGCUGCAUGGCUGUCGUCAGCUCGUGUCGUGAGAUGUUGGGUUAAGUCCCGCAACGAGCGCAACCCUUUUCCUUACUUGCCAGCAUUUCGGAUGGGAACUUUAAGGAUACUGCCAGUGACAAACUGGAGGAAGGCGGGGACGACGUCAAGUCAUCAUGGCCCUUACGGCCAGGGCUACACACGUGCUACAAUGGUCGGUACAAAGGGUUGCUACACAGCGAUGUGAUGCUAAUCUCAAAAAGCCGAUCGUAGUCCGGAUCCCAGUCUGCAACUCGACUGCGUGAAGUCGGAAUCGCUAGUAAUCGCGGAUCAGAAUGCCGCGGUGAAUACGUUCCCGGGCCUUGUACACACCG
rnacentral:rRNA from 1 species